rnacentral:rRNA from 1 species
GAAUUUUUCGCAAUGGGGGAAACCCUGACGAAGCAACGCCGCGUGGAGGAUGAAGGCCUUCGGGUCGUAAACUCCUGUCGACCGGGACGAAUGUGGUCCGGGUGAAUACCCCGGGCCAUCGACUGUACCGGUGGAGGAAGCCACGGCUAACUCUGUGCCAGCAGCCGCGGUAAUACAGAGGUGGCAAGCGUUGUUCGGAAUUACUGGGCGUAAAGGGCGCGUAGGCGGUCUUGCAAGUCCCGUGUGAAAUCCCUCGGCUCAACUGAGGAAUGGCACGGGAAACUGCUUGGCUUGAGUUCGGGAGAGGGAAGCGGAAUUCCGGGUGUAGCGGUGAAAUGCGUAGAUAUCCGGAGGAACACCGGUGGCGAAGGCGGCUUCCUGGACCGACACUGACGCUGAGGCGCGAAAGCUAGGGGAGCAAAC